AACGAACGCUGGCGGCAUGCCUAACACAUGCAAGUCGAACGAGACCUUCGGGUCUAGUGGCGCACGGGUGCGUAACGCGUGGGAACCUGCCCUUAGGUUCGGAAUAACUCCCCGAAAGGGGUGCUAAUACCGGAUAAUGUCUUCGGACCAAAGAUUUAUCGCCUUUGGAUGGGCCCGCGUUGGAUUAGCUAGUUGGUAGGGUAAAAGCCUACCAAGGCGACGAUCCAUAGCUGGUCUGAGAGGAUGAUCAGCCACACUGGGACUGAGACACGGCCCAGACUCCUACGGGAGGCAGCAGUGGGGAAUAUUGGACAAUGGGCGAAAGCCUGAUACAGCAAUGCCGCGUGAGUGAUGAAGGCCUUAGGGUUGUAAAGCUCUUUUACCCGGGAUGAUAAUGACAGUACCGGGAGACUAAGCUCCGGCUAACUCCGUG
rnacentral:rRNA from 1 species